rnacentral:rRNA from 1 species
AGAGUUUGAUCCUGGCUCAGAACGAACGCUGGCGGCGUGCCUAACACAUGCAAGUCGAACGAGAAAGCGGGCUUCGGCCCGUUAGUAGAGUGGCAGACGGGUGAGUAACACGUGGGUAACCUGUCCGGAGGCGGGGGAUAACUCUCCGAAAGGAGGGCUAAUACCGCAUAAUACUCGUGGGUUUCGGCCCGGCGAAUCAAAGCUUGCCUCUACAUGUAAGCAAGCACCACCGGAGGGGCCCGCGGCCCAUUAGCUUGUUGGUGAGGUAACGGCUCACCAAGGCUACGAUGGGUAGCCGGCCUGAGAGGGCGAUCGGCCACACUGGAACUGAGACACGGUCCAGACUCCUACGGGAGGCAGCAGUGAGGAAUUUUAGGCAAUGGGGGAAACCCUGACCUAGCAACGCCGCGUGUGGGAUGAAGGCCCUCGGGUCGUAAACCACUGUCAGGAGGGAAGAAAUGCGGUCCGGGAAUACCCAUGGUGUUUGACGGUACCUCCAAAGGAAGCACCGGCUAACUCCGUGCCAGCAGCCGCGGUAAUACGGAGGGUGCAAGCGUUGUUCGGAAUUACUGGGCGUAAAGCGCGUGUAGGCGGCUGGGCAAGUCGGGUGUGAAAUCCCUGGGCUCAACCCAGGAAGUGCAUCCGAAACUGCUCAGCUAGAGUCUCGGAGGGGAAGGCAGAAUUCCCAGUGUAGGGGUGAAAUCCGAGAUAUCGGGAGGAACACCAGUGGCGAAGGCGGCCACCUGGACGGUGACUGACGCUCAGACCCGAAAGCGUGGGGAGCAAACAGGAUUAGAUACCCUGGUAGUCCACGCCGUAAACGUUGUGAGCUAGUUGUGUGCGAUAUACAGUACGGGCCGAAGCAAAAGUGAUAAGUGCGCCGCCUGGGGAGUACGGCCGCAAGGCUAAAACUCAAAGGAAUUGACGGGGGCUCACACAAGCGGUGGAGCAUGUGGAUUAAUUCGAAGCAACGCGAAGAACCCUACCUGGGUUUGACACCUGGAUGCGUCCCUUGAAAGAGGGAGCCGUUGCCCUUUGGGUGAAACAGGCACAGGUGCUGCAUGGCUGUCGUCAGCUCGUGCUGUGAAGUGUCGGGUUAAGUCCCUUAACGAGCGAAACCCUUAUCGCUAGUUGCCAGCGGGUCAUGCCGGGGACUCUAGCGAGACUGCCGGCGUCAAGUCGGAGGAAGGUGGGGACGACGUCAAGUCAUCGUGGCCCUUAUGUCCAGGGUGUCUCACGUGCUACAAUGGUCGUACAGAGCGACGCAAUACCGCGAGGUGGAGCAAAUCGCAGAAAGCCGGCCUAAGUUCGGAUUGGAGUCUGCAACUCGACUCCAUGAAGUUGGAAUCGCUAGUAAUCGCGUAUCAGCCAUGACGCGGUGAAUGUGUUCCUGAGCCUUGUACACACCGCCCGUCAAGUCAUGGAAGCUGGGAGUACCCGAAGUCCGCUUAGCUAACCGCAAGGAGGCGGCGGCCGACGGUAAGCUUGGUAACUGGGUGAAGUCGUAACAAGGUAACC